rnacentral:lncRNA from 1 species
GUGCGCGGGCGGAUGGAUCAACGCCGCCAAGUGGGGAAAGCGCGAAUGCAGUCCCCCACUACAACAAAUUAUGCAGUCGAGUUUUCCACAUUUGGGAAUAUCACAGGGGUCAGCACAUCCGGAGUGCAAUCGAUGAGCCCCACGCUGGGAAAAACCACCUUCGUGAUCAUGGUAUCUUCCCUGCCAGCAACCUAAUCACAGAGCCUCCCAGCCCGAUGCUACAAAGAGCCGCAUGCUGCCAGUUUCCUUGUGGGCAGGGACCUAUGUAUUAUAAUGGUGAAUAUAUUUAUACUUGAAUCCACAGAGAAGACACAGUAGACUAGUCAUACCAUUGGAAGGCCGGAGAACUGUAUUUCUGGCCAGAGCUGCUGCAGAAGGUCUCUGUUCGGCAUCAGGUUGGAUCAUGUUCUGAUGAUAUAGGACCAAGAGGAAAGAAACAGAAGCUUCACUAUUGGGAAAAAUCUUCCCAUUCAAGCCAACUCCAACCCAGCUUCUCCUGGUGGAUUUUAGAGAAACCAAUCAGCUUCAUUUUCAACUUCUUCUAUGACUCCAGAGGAUUCACUUUGCAUCUUGUGACAAAUGAAUAUAUUACCUGAAAAAAAAAUGACAGGAUAGAUGAGUUGCUGCACAGGGGGAAAGCGAAGUUCCCAGGAGUAAGAUGUGCAAGAAGCGGGCAGCCUUGCAUCUCAGGGCUGAGUUCCCUCAACUGUGUGCUUGAGGGAAGUUCUCCCCUUGCAGACACACUGCUGAGUGAUAAGGAAGCACCUAGACUCCACUCUGACCAGACUUGGUUCUGAGGCCUAUGAAAUGUUGAUGGGAAGAACAGAAGCAGGAAAAUCUAUCUAUUCAAAUUUGCAAGACGUGGAAACUUUUAUUCACCUUCCUGGUUAGACUGUUCCUUUGUCAAAGUAAAGCUAAGGCCAUGGAAAAUGAGCUAUUUGAGAGUUUGUCGCUCCAAGGAAGAACAUGCUGGCCUAAUUGUCCCCCAAGUCAGGAGAGAGAAUUGUAAAAAACACUUAAACAGGCCUAAGUAAAGGUCCAGCACAUUAUUUAUUUAAGACUGAAUUAGAACUGAGUCAUUCCGACUCUGAAAAAAGAGUGUUGUUGGAUUCUUAUGUAUUUAAUGGGUCUGCCCUAUUGAAAACCAUUGUGAAGUAUGGUUUCCCAAGCAAGAAAUGACACUUUCACUGUCAGUCUUUCUAGGAGUCUGGCAGAAUCCAGGACCGGGAUUACCCUUAUUUAUGAAGCGACCUUAGACUAACAGUGGCUCUCUGGGUCUCCAGACAAUUGGCCAGGGACUCUAAAAACCAGAAACAAAGUUGAGAGAACUCCAUGCUGGUGGAGAAAAACAGCUGGCCUUUAUCACCAGAAUGUGCCCCAUAGAAGCAGCAAAGCAGCAAGCGACGUUCUUAAACAAGGGCCUGUGGGCCUCGUCAAGAUCUGGAGGAAUCAUCUACGACUCACUGCUGAGUGAGAGGGCUAGGCAGUGUCUUUAAGGUCCUGCCAGCUUUAACAUUGUAUGCUUUUUCUUUUGUUCAAUCUCUCACCACAACUGGAAGUGUUGCCUCAACUACACAGGAGAAAGUUUGCAGUAACUUAGAGAAAACAUUAUUUUAAUCACCAGUGUAUGUUCUCCUGCUCCCUGGACAAAUCCAUCAGCAGCGGCAACACUGACCAGGUCCAGAUUGGGGCCGCUGCGGUGGAUGUGAAUCCAUUGAAACUAGGGGUCUCCAGUGCUCCUGACUCCUCACAGCUCUGUUCCUAUGACAAGGAUGGUCAGCAAAGCCAGCAACCUUGAAGGGGGACCUUCUUCUAAUCUCCUCCCUGCCUGCUGAGAGAGUGUACAGAAGCAGCCACUUGUCAGCUGCGAUGAAUCCAAUGAUAAUUACAUAAAUCAUUAACAAUACUUGAUAUUUGCCCAUCACAUUUCUCAUUUCAAAGUGCUCAUAAAAUUGUAUCUCAUGGGUGGCACUGCCGGCACAACAGAAUUCCAAGGAAGGAUUACGGGCUAAGUAAAUAAAGCCUGGAGGCUGCUUUAAAGCCUAGGAGUCUGUUAUUAACCCUUUCCUCCUUUUUGUUUAACUUUUUCUCAUGGAAAUGUUCAAACAUACCAAAAAUAGAGAAAAUACUAUAAUGAGUCCUUAUGUAUCCAUAACCUAGCUUCAAAAAUUAUGUAUGGCUUUACAGUCUUGUUUAGUUCAUAACUGCAACUUCAUUGAGGGUGAGUGCUGGGGUAUUGUGAAGCAAAUCAGUGACAACAUAUUUUACCCAUGGAUACUUUAGUGCCAUUAAUAAAAACCCCUAGGUUAUUCUAUUAAUUUGAAAUCUACUAUAAAUCUAUCUGAUGAAUAAAUCAAACAGAUUUUAACAAA